rnacentral:rRNA from 1 species
GAUGAACGCUGGCGGCGUGCCUAAUACAUGCAAGUCGAGCGAACGGACGAGAAGCUUGCUUCUCUGAUGUUAGCGGCGGACGGGUGAGUAACACGUGGAUAACCUACCUAUAAGACUGGGAUAACUUCGGGAAACCGGAGCUAAUACCGGAUAAUAUUUUGAACCGCAUGGUUGAAAAGUGAAAGACGGUGUUGCUGUCACUUAUAGAUGGAUCCGCGCUGCAUUAGCUAGUUGGUAAGGUAACGGCUUACCAAGGCAACGAUGCAUAGCCGACCUGAGAGGGUGAUCGGCCACACUGGAACGGAGACCCGGUCCAGACUCCUACGGGAGGCAGCAGUAGGGAAUCUUCCGCAAUGGGCGAAAGCCUGACGGAGCAACGCCGCGUGAGUGAUGAAGGUCUUCGGAUCGUAAAACUCUGUUAUUAGGGAAGAACACAUGUGUAAGUAACUGUGCACAUCUUGACGGUACCUAAUCAGAAAGCCACGGCUAACUACGUG